GAUGAACGCUGGCGGCGUGCCUAAUACAUGCAAGUCGAGCGAACGGACGAGAAGCUUGCUUCUCUGAUGUUAGCGGCGGACGGGUGAGUAACACGUGGAUAACCUACCUAUAAGACUGGGAUAACUUCGGGAAACCGUAGCUAAUACCGGAUAAUAUUUUGAACCGCAUGGUUCAAAAGUGAAAGACGGGCUUGCUGUCACUUAUAGAUGGAUCCGCGCUGCAUUAGCUAGUUGGUAAGGUAACGGCUUACCAAGGCAACGAUGCAGAGCCGACCUGAGAGGGUGAUCGGCCACACUGGAACUGAGACACGGUCCCGACUCCUACGGUGGGCAGCAGUCGGGACUCUUCCGCAAUGGGCGAAAGCCUGACGGAGCACCGCCGCGUGAGUGAUGAAGGUCUUCGGAUCGUAAAACUCUGUUAUUAGGGAAGAACAUAUGUGUAAUUAACUGUGCACAUCUUGACGGUACCUAAACAGAAAGCCACGGCUAACUACGUG
rnacentral:rRNA from 1 species